GGCUUACAGUUUGAUCCUGGCUCAUCUCUAACACUGGCGGCAUGGCUAAGACAUGCUCGUCGAAGGAGAAACCCCUUCUGGGGUGGACACUGGCGAACGGGCUAGUAAUGCAUUCCAACGUGCCCCACGGUGGGGGAUAGCGUCGGGAAGCUGGCGGUAAUACCCCAUGUGCUCUACUGAGGAAAGCUUCAGCGCCUCCUGAGCGGCCAAUGUCCUAUCCGGGUGUUGGUGAGGUAACGGCUCACCAACCCGAA
rnacentral:rRNA from 1 species